AAUAGCUCACAGUCCACCCCCAGCAUGCAUACCUUGAAAAAGACCGUAAAGUCGAAACGGCAUUGGUGCAUGCUGAGAGUGGAGACUUUUUAGCCCCCGCAUUUGUUUUUAUCUAUUUUAAAGCAAGCUGUUUGGUCCCUUUAACCUGUGAGGUCACCCUUAGGUUUGUCAUAGAGUGGGCAUUCCGGAUUUCCCCACUAGUAUUGGAGUUUUCUCAUCUUCUCCACAAAGCCUUAGCAGGUACCUAACAGUAGUUUAUAGGGUCUACUUGCUUGUUAUCUAUUUUUAUUGAAAAAUAAAGAAAAAGUUUUUUCAUCAAAACUCCAGUGGAUCCAUAUGUAAAGAUACCUUUAUAUGCGGAAAGAACUCUUCUAACACGAUGGAGGAAGUAAAGAAAGAAAAUAGUGUUGAAGAUAAGAUGGAAGGAGUACGGAUUAAGAAUUCUCCGGAUAAUAACUCCUAGAAACCCAGUGCCAGCUAUAACAGGUAA